rnacentral:rRNA from 1 species
UACAGAGGGGGGCAAGCGUUUAUUCGGAAUUAUUGGGCGUAAAGGGCGCGUAGGCGGCUUGGCAAGUGGAUGGUGAAAUCCCUCGGCUUAACCGAGGAACUGCCGUCCAAACUGCUUCGCUUGAGACCGGGAGAGGUGAGUGGAAUUCCCAGUGUAGCGGUGAAAUGCGUAGAUAUUGGGGAGGAACACCAGUGGCGAAGGCGGCUCACUGGACCGGUACUGACGCUGAUGCGCGAAAAGCGUGGGGGAGCAAACGGG